rnacentral:rRNA from 1 species
UACGUAGGGUGCAAGCGUUGUCCGGAAUUAUUGGGCGUAAAGAGCUCGUAGGCGGUUCGUCGCGUCGGCUGUGAAAACCCGGAGCUCAACUCCGGGCCUGCAGUCGAUACGGGCGGACUUGAGUGUUGCAGGGGAGACUGGAAUUCCUGGUGUAGCGGUGAAAUGCGCAGAUAUCAGGAGGAACACCGGUGGCGAAGGCGGUUCUCUGGGCAUUACCUGACGCUGAGGAGCGAAAGCAUGGGGAGCGAACAGG